UAACAAGGUCUCCGUUGGUGAACCAGCGGAGGGAUCAUUACCGAGUUUACAACUCCCAAACCCCUAUGUGAACGUUACCAAACUGUUGCCUCGGCGGGAUUUCUGCCCCGGGCGCGUCGCAGCCCCGGACCAAGGCGCCCGCCGGAGGACCAAUUUACAAACUCUUUUGUAUAUCCCAUCGCGGAUUCUUUACAUUCUGAGCUUUCUCGGCGCUCCUAGCGAGCGUUUCGAAAAUGAAUCAAAACUUUCAACAACGGAUCUCUUGGUUCUGGCAUCGAUGAAGAACGCAGCGAAAUGCGAUAAGUAAUGUGAAUUGCAGAAUUCAGUGAAUCAUCGAAUCUUUGAACGCACAUUGCGCCCGCCAGUAUUCUGGCGGGCAUGCCUGUCCGAGCGUCAUUUCAACCCUCGAACCCCUCCGGGGGGUCGGCGUUGGGGAUCGGCACUUACCUGCCGGCCCCGAAAUACAGUGGCGGUCUCGCCGCAGCCUCUCCUGCGCAGUAGUUUGCACACUCGCACCGGGAGCGCGGCGCGUCCACGGCCGUAAAACAACCCAAACUUCUGAAAUGUUGACCUCGGAUCAGGUAGGAAUACCCGCUGAACUUAAGCAUAUCA
rnacentral:rRNA from 1 species